GAUGAACGCUGGCGGCGUGCCUAAUACAUGCAAGUCGAGCGAAGAGGGGACGGGGGUGAAACAUGUGGAGAACCGCCUAUAAGACUGGGGUAAAUUAGGGGAAACGGAGCUAAAACGGAAGCUUAUAGAAGGAUCGGCUCUGCAUUAGCUAGUGGGUAAGGUAACGGCUUACCAGGGCAACGAUGCAUAGCCGAGCUGAGAGGUUGAUCCGCCACACUGGAACUGAGACACGGUCCAGACUCCUACGUGAGGCAGCAGUGGGGAAUCUUCCGCAAUGGGCGAAAGCCUGACGGAGCCACGCCGCGUGAGUGAUGAAGGUCUUCGGGUUGUAAAGCUCUGUUAUUAGGGAUGCGUUACCUACUCAGAAAGCCACGGCUAACUCCGUGCCAGCAGCCGCGGUAAUUC
rnacentral:rRNA from 1 species